CUUGGAGCAACCAGCUGGUUGAAGGAGGAAGCAGCAGAAGGUGUAGAUCCCUCUGCUCUUGGGAACUCGCAACUCAUGGAGGAAGGUCCUGGCAUUUUCCUGAGUGCUGGAGGCUUCCCAGAAGCUGCCCCCAAUGCCUUCUGCACUGCCUGGAGCCAGUGCUUCCAGCUGUCAGCUCUGGAGCUGAUGUAGCAGCCCGACAUUUGAGCAGCUGCAGCACCAGGAAAGUUGACUUGCAGAGGGAAAGGACACCCAGGCUUCUGGCAGAACAGCCAGGUGGCCUCACAGGAGGACAGUUACUCCACUCGCACAUAGAAUCACACAUACAGACUGUCUGAAGUUGGAAAAGACCUCUGGAGAUCUCCUGGUUCAACUUCUGCUCAGGUAGAGCCACCUAGAUCAUGUAGCACAGGAUCAU